GUUCAGUCGGGACACAUUAGACCAUUACACACGCUGUGUGUGUGUGUGGAAGUGGUGUCGGAGUCCAUGGCUGCGCUGCAAACACAGUCACCAUCGUGCGCAGGAGACAUGGAGAGGAGUUUACGCACGGUCCGUGGAUGAAAUGGGAAGUCAAAGAGCUGAAUAGACAAAAGUGCCGCCCAGAGAAAGUCCCCACAUCUUCACAAUGGCCUCCACGCCUUCAAGCUCUAUCCAGGCCCUCUCCAUGCCGGGGUUCGGAUCUGUGCAAGACAAAGUCAUCAACAACACAGUUCACUCCAUGACGGCCUCCGGUCACGAUCCAUCUGUUUGUGUCUUAUACCACAACAGUGACAGCACCUGUUUUGAAGCUGAACCGUGACGUCACUCCCACUUGGAACGUGGCAAAAACAGGGUUUUCCUGGGUCCCCAGGGCGUAGAUGUCAUGAGGGAGCAAGGCGGUCGACUCGUCGGGGGUGUGUCCCAGACCACAGCAGGUCACCCAUGUCUGCAGGCUGCGAGGAGGAGGGAAUCCACCUGUGUACACAAAACAACACAAUAAAAUUCUG